UACAUAGGGUGCAAGCGUUGUCCGGAAUUAUUGGGCGUAAAGAGCUCGUAGGUGGUCGAUCACGUCGGAUGUGAAAUUCUGAGGCUUAACCUCGGACCUGCAUUCGAUACGGGUUGACUAGAGUGUGGUAGGGGAGACUGGAAUUCCUGGUGUAGCGGUGGAAUGCGCAGAUAUCAGGAGGAACACCGAUGGCGAAGGCAGGUCUCUGGGCCAUUACUGACACUGAGGAGCGAAAGCGUGGGGAGCGAACAGGAUUAGAUACCCUGGUAGUCCACGCCGUAAACGGUGGGCGCUAGUUGUGGGAACCUUCCACGGUUUCUGCGACGCAGCUAACGCAUUAAGCGCCCCGCCUGGGGAGUACGGUCGCAAGACUAAAACUCAAAGAAAUUGACGGGGCCCCGCACAAGCAGCGGAGCAUGCGGCUUAAUUCGACGCAACGCGAAGAACCUUACCAAGGCUUGACAUAUACAGGAAUACGGCAGAGAUGUCGUAGCCGCAAGGUCUGUAUACAGGUGGUGCAUGGUUGUCGUCAGCUCGUGUCGUGAGAUGUUGGGUUAAGUCCCGCAACGAGCGCAACCCUCGUCCUGUGUUACCAGCAUUUAGUUGGGGACUCACAGGAGACUGCCGGGGUCAACUCGGAGGAAGGUGGGGAUGACGUCAAAUCAUCAUGCCCCUUAUGUCUUGGGCUGCACGCAUGCUACAAUGGCUGGUACAAAGGGCUGCGAUACCGCGAGGUGGAGCGAAUCCCAAAAAGCCAGUCUCAGUUCGGAUUGGGGUCUGCAACUCGACCCCAUGAAGUCGGAGUUGCUAGUAAUCGUAGAUCAGCAACGCUACGGUGAAUACGUUCCCGGGGCU
rnacentral:rRNA from 1 species